AUAAGCAGAGAUUUUUACAUAUUAGGUGCCUCGAAAGGCCUUUUCUACUGUUAAAAUUAGCAUUUUAAAGCGCAAAUUUAGGCAAUUUAUUAAGAGAAACGUUACUAAACAUCUCAAAAUAAUUGCUAUUUAUAAAAGAAGCAGAGAUUUUUUUCACGUUAGAGGCCCGAAAAGGCCUUCCUACUGCUGAAACUAAAGUUUAAAUGUCAUAUUUAGACAAUUUCUUAACAUAAACGUUACUACACACCUCCAAAUAAUUGCUGUUUAUUUUUAAAAAAUGCUGUGAUUUCUACACACAAGAGGCCUUCCCAUUGCUAAAAGAGUAUAUUAAGGCAAUAUUUUAGCAGAAACACCACCAAAUAAUUGCUUUAUAUUAUAAAAACAGCUAUGAUUUCUACACACAAGAGGCCUUCCCAUUGCUAAAAGAGUAUAUUAAGGCAAUAUUUUAGUAGAAACACCUCCAAAUAAUUGCUUUUUAUUUAAAAAAAAGCUGUGAUUUCUACACACAAGAGGCCUUCCCAUUGCUAAAAGAGUAUAUUAAGGCAAUAUUUUAGCAGAAACACCACCAAAUAAUUGCAAUUACUAAAGACAUGCUGCGAUUUUAAUACAUUAGAGGCCCCAAAAGGCCUUUCUACAGUUAAAAUUCACAAAUAUAAAGCUGAUAUUUAGACGACAUUACUAGACACCUCACGUUAUUGAUGAUUUUUGUACGCCAAGAAGGCCCCAAAAUACAUAAAUUAUUUUCUAAUCGAAGGGAUUUUUAUGCCUUAAAUAUAUAAAUAAAUUUUUUUAGUAGAAAAAUAAAUUAAAUACAGAAAAAUGUGGAACGAUAGAAGACAUAAAAGAAAGGGACAAGUAAAAAAAAAAUUGUAUUGUCGAUCCCUCAUAAAGGAAGAGGCUAACAACCAUCCCCCGGAGGAGAUAACAAGAUGGCGGACACGCUGACGCAACUCAUGCCUCAUACAGACAAAGAAGUAAAGGGAGAUGAGUGAAGAUGCUGAGAUAUAUUGAUUAAUAACUGAAAAUAUACAACAUCUAGAGCCUCUUAUGAAGGAAAAGGUAUAUAAUUAGUUAGAAGUGUUUCGAGGUGGGUCAAACCGUACAACGUAGAUGUGCUUCUGGAACCCCAGAAAAGAAAAAUACACUGACAGUUAGGUGACGAGUGUGCAGGGAAACAACCAGUCGCCAGUUGUGUGCUUGUGUCUGUACAUUUCACAGAAAUACCCUUGGGUUCUUUAUUCAAUCUUCGCAAUGCUGUCUUUGGCUAGGAAUCUUCUUUCCGUAUCGAAAUUGCAUCACUUUCAUGAGAACUUUUUUAAAUACUUUUUUUUUUUCUUCCUCUUCUUCCUCCUCCUCUUCUUCUUCUUCUUCCUUUGAAAUAUUAUUGUUACUGUCACUUUUGAAUAUCCGGAAUCCAAACUUUUACUCUUCAUUUCCCUUCAUUUUUUUUCCUUCUAAAGAAAGAAAACUUUUGCACAAUUUUAAACAUUUGUUUUUAAUUUUAUUUUCCUCCCGACUUAAGAGGGGGGAGGGUAAAAUUUAAUUAAUUCUAUGAGGCAAUUAAGGCUAUGGUUUUUUUUUUUCAUCCUUUACUAAAUAAACAAGCUCGAAGGCUGGAAGAAUAUUUAAAAAUUGAUAACUCGUUCUAGCUACUCUAUUAAUUACUAAAAUAGUUCAUUAACGAGUUUUUUCUCCUUCCUUAAGGCAUCCUUAUAAUCUUACUAGUAAGGGAACAAAAUCUAGUUUUUACUUCAAUUAUCCUUACUUAGUUUUUAGGGUGACAGAUCGGAUUUAAACUAAGAUUUUUUUAAAGUUAUGACGUUAGUCUAAUGCUAUAGAUAGCUUGGCUUCUAGGGAAGAUGCUCUUUGUUACUACAGUAGCACAGAUUUAUAAACACUACUCUUCUUAUGUAAUGGUACAGUACCUUAACUCAAGUUUUUAAUUUUUCAUUCAAACUUAAUGAGCUGUUAAGUAUAUGAAAUCUGCUACUGUAUUGCUACAGUAGCAGACUUACCUUUCCUCACUUUUAUGGAAGAGUAGCAAACAAAACACAAUAAGCAAUGGCUACGUUACUGUAGUAGUAGUAGUAGUUUACUAACUAUUCUUAGAGCCUUUUUCUACUUUUCUAUCAGAAGAUUAGCCUUAAAUAUCAAUCGUGAGACUUAUAAAUCAAUAAUUUUAUAAUACCAAACGCAUUAAUAUUGUUUCUAUAAUAGUACAGAUUUUUGAAAGUUUAAAAUAGGGAGUCUUUCUCUAUACAAUGGGUGAAUAUAGUCUUAUUUUCAGUAUGUUGUGAUUAAUUUAACUUAUUUUUCUCCACACUAUAAUGAUUAUAGCCUUAUUUUACUAUACACUAUGGUAAAGAUAGCCUUUAUCUCUACACCACAUUGAAAAUAGCCUUAAAUUUAAACCAAAAAAAAAUCCCAUCGAAUCUACAGUAACAGGCAUUAUUGUUACUCUGAUUGAUUCCAACGUAGAGUAUAUUUUAUUAUUUAGCCUGUAGCCUUAUCUCAUUUUAUAUCUGUCACUGUUUUUGAUAUAUUACAAUAAGCGAGCACACAACAAUUUUUUAUUUUUAUUUUAUUUUAUUUAUUUUUUUAAGCCUAGAUCAUCCUCAGAUUGAAUCGACCAACGGGUAUUAAAUUGGUAAAGAGAUGAUGGAUGAUGGAUAGAGCUGUCUUCUUCGGUACGAGAAGGGACCACCAAAAAAUAUUCUCGAUUCCGAGACAGUAAUGGCUGCCCAGAAGACAAGCGAACAAGAAUUUUCUUCUUCUUCUUCUUAUUCUUAUUUUGUAGGCCCCCCUGCUAGUCGACACCCCUCUACCCCUCUAAAGUUUUACGGGUUGGAACGAGAGAAAUGUCAGAAGAUUUGAGUUGUUGUACUAUUUUGAUGACAAAAAAAAAUAUAACGUGCCCUACAUAGGAAGACGGAUUAAGUGGGAUAUAAUGAAUGACGUCACUUUUUUCAUCCCUACUUUUCACGGUUACUUCCGACUGAUAGUCAAGAUUUCCGACGUGAUCAAUUGUGAAUAAAAUGCUCGAAUUCUUCACUUCUCUCCUUACAACAUCCUUACUUAUUUUGCAUUGUUAUCAAUCAUGUUUUAAAGUGAUAUAACACGCACCCAACCUAGAAAAAGAACAAUAAAAAAUGAUGAUAAUAAUAAUAAUAUCAAU
rnacentral:lncRNA from 1 species